UACGUAGGGUCCAAGCGUUAUCCGGAAUCACUGGGCGUAAAGCGUGCGUAGGCGGAUGUUUAAGUGUGAUGUUAAAUCGUGGGGCUCAACCCUGUCGUUUGCAUCGCAUACUGGGCAUCUAGAGGACGGCAGAGGCAAGUGGAACUCGUAGUGUAGCAGUGAAAUGCGUAGAUAUUACGAAGAACACCAAUGGCGAAGGCAGCUUGCUGGGCCGACCCUGACGCUGAGGUACGGAAAGCGUGGGGAGCGAACAGG
rnacentral:rRNA from 1 species